UGCAGGAGCAAGCUCUUCUGGAUUUAUUCAGUUUACCUCAACAAGAUGCCUACAGAAUCAAGAAAGAGCUUCUUCCAAACAGAUGACAAUAUUUUCCAGAGACCAACUGAUGAAGAAAGUGCUUUUGAAAUGGGUUUAAACUGACUCAAGCCUCCUUGUGGAUUCAGCAAAUGGACACAACCUUCUCUCUAAGCGGGGGCCCAAACCUUGCAGAAGGGUUGGAGAGACCUUGGCCUACUAAGGCCCAUUAGACUGACUGAGGAGCCCUGUUUGCCACAGGAAGUGUUAUCUCCUGGCCAACAAAAGAAGACCCAUAAACACCACGGAAACUAUUGUGGAACAUCAGAGGACAAAAGACUUUGUUGAUUGCUCCCUCCACACCCAUCUAGAGAAGAUAUGCACAAGGACUCAUUUCAUCAUCUUGAACUCUGGGGGAAGGGAACAAUAAUCCCUGACAAGAAGGAGUGGAUUUCUAUGCGGCUGGGACUUUCGAAAGGCUAAAUUUCUAAGCAUAAGCAAUGGAUGACCAGCUACAUAGCUUGGGCCUCUAGAGGACAUACAGAGCUUGCAUAUUACAGCAGCCUCUAUUACCUUUUGAACCUAAGACUAUAACUUGUGUUGUGUGUGUGUAUUUAUCUGCAAAUAACUCUCUUAUUUCUCUUUCGUAGUUAAUAAAUCUUUAGUUAAGUUAUUAUAGGAUUGGCUACAAGCACUGUCUUUGGUGUAAGAUCUAAAGUAUAAUUGAUCUGGGGUAAGUGAUUGGUCCUUUGGGACUGGGAGUAAUCUGAAUUUUGUUGUGAUUUUUGGUGUAAGGGUCCAAGGGGCCAUCUAUCACACAGUCAAACUUACCUGGGUGGCAAGGUAGA